AGACUAGAUACGUUACCUCAAGGGCAGGUUGUUAUGAAGUGAAGUUGCCUCUUACCUUCUCUGACUUCUUUGUAGGCAUCUGAUUGUCCUUCCGCUUUUCCACCAGGCUGAAGCAGCCAAGGCUUCCAUUGGAGGCGUGCAGAGGCUGGAACCGUGCUCUUGGACUUCCUGCCCUCCAGAACCACUGGGAAAAAGAAUCCUCUGUCCUUUAUUAGUGAACCAAUCCCAGGCACUUAGCAACAGAAAACAGGGGAAAGCAACUAGAAUCCAGCCAAGACUGAAGCAAUGAUGCCAGGAUAUUGAUGCCAAGGUCCCAAAGCGUGCACCUGGGGUGGUUGGCAGGAGAGAAGGCAGACAGGCAAACCUUUGAAUCUUCUGCCUGCUUUUCUCCACAGGGCAUGUGCGUCUUAUUGGAGUUAGGACUUCCCAAUAGGCGUCCACAAGCAAUCGCUUCAUGA
rnacentral:lncRNA from 1 species